AUAUUUCAGCAUAUGAGGAUGGUAGCGAGUUCGAAGAUGAAUUCGAUGAUAUUGAUUUGGAUGAUAGUGAUUUUGAUGAUGAAUAUAUGAUGGAAUUAAGAGCUGAAGUGCCAUCAUCUGAUGAUGAUGAAGUUGAGGAUGAUGAUGUUGGGGAUAAUGAUGGGGGUGAUGAUGUUGGUUAUGAGGUUAAAUAUGAGGAUAAUGAUGAUGAUAAGGGAGAUGGAGUUGAGGAGCUGAAUAGGGAGGAAUUGUUCCUCUUCAGCGAUGUAAAGAUAGCGAAACUCUAUAAGAUGGAUUUGGUGCACGAUAAGGA